rnacentral:rRNA from 1 species
GAUGAACGCUGGCGGCGUGCCUAAUACAUGCAAGUCGAGCGAACGGACGAGAAGCUUGCUUCUCUGAUGUUAGCGGCGGACGGGUGAGUAACACGUGGAUAACCUACCUAUAAGACUGGGAUAACUUCGGGAAACCGGAGCUAAUACCGGAUAAUAUUUUGAACCGCAUGGUUCAAAAGUGAAAGACGGUCUUGCUGUCACUUAUAGAUGGAUCCGCGCUGCAUUAGCUAGUUGGUAAGGUAACGGCUUACCAAGGCAACGAUGCAUAGCCGACCUGAGAGGGUGAUCGGCCACACUGGAACUGAGACACGGUCCAGACUCCUACGGGAGGCAGCAGUAGGGAAUCUUCCGCAAUGGGCGAAAGCCUGACGGAGCAACGCCGCGUGAGUGAUGAAGGUCUUCGGAUCGUAAAACUCUGUUAUUAGGGAAGAACAUAUGUGUAAGUAACUGUGCACAUCUUGACGGUACCUAAUCAGAAAGCCACGGCUAACUACGUGCCAGCAGCCGCGGUAAUACGUAGGUGGCAAGCGUUAUCCGGAAUUAUUGGGCGUAAAGCGCGCGUAGGCGGUUUUUUAAGUCUGAUGUGAAAGCCCACGGCUCAACCGUGGAGGGUCAUUGGAAACUGGAAAACUUGAGUGCAGAAGAGGAAAGUGGAAUUCCAUGUGUAGCGGUGAAAUGCGCAGAGAUAUGGAGGAACACCAGUGGCGAAGGCGACUUUCUGGUCUGUAACUGACGCUGAUGUGCGAAAGCGUGGGGAUCAAACAGGAUUAGAUACCCUGGUAGUCCACGCCGUAAACGAUGAGUGCUAAGUGUUAGGGGGUUUCCGCCCCUUAGUGCUGCAGCUAACGCAUUAAGCACUCCGCCUGGGGAGUACGACCGCAAGGUUGAAACUCAAAGGAAUUGACGGGGACCCGCACAAGCGGUGGAGCAUGUGGUUUAAUUCGAAGCAACGCGAAGAACCUUACCAAAUCUUGACAUCCUUUGACAACUCUAGAGAUAGAGCCUUCCCCUUCGGGGGACAAAGUGACAGGUGGUGCAUGGUUGUCGUCAGCUCGUGUCGUGAGAUGUUGGGUUAAGUCCCGCAACGAGCGCAACCCUCAAGCUUAGUUGCCAUCAUUAAGUUGGGCACUCUAAGUUGACUGCCGGUGACAAACCGGAGGAAGGUGGGGAUGACGUCAAAUCAUCAUGCCCCUUAUGAUUUGGGCUACACACGUGCUACAAUGGACAAUACAAAGGGCAGCGAAACCGCGAGGUCAAGCAAAUCCCAUAAAGUUGUUCUCAGUUCGGAUUGUAGUCUGCAACUCGACUACAUGAAGCUGGAAUCGCUAGUAAUCGUAGAUCAGCAUGCUACGGUGAAUACGUUCCCGGGUCU